GGCCCUAUGGUCAAGCGGUUAAGACACCGCCCUUUCACGGCGGUAACCCGGGUUCGAGUCCCGGUAGGGUCA
rnacentral:tRNA from 1 species